rnacentral:rRNA from 1 species
AUUGAACGCUGGCGGCAGGCCUAACACAUGCAAGUCGAACGAGUGGCGGACGGGUGAGUAAUGUCUGGGAAACUGCCUGAUGGAGGGGGAUAACUACUGGAAACGGUAGCUAAUACCGCAUACCAUCAGAUGUGCCCAGAUGGGAUUAGCGAGUUGGUGGGGUAACGGCUAACCAAGGCGACGAUCCCUAGCUGGUCUGAGAGGAUGACCAGCCAGAGUGGAACUGAGACACGGUCCAGACGCCUACGGGAGGCGACGGAGGGGAAUAUUGCACAAUGGUCGCAAGCCUGAUGCAGCCAUGCCGCGUGUAUGAGGAAGGCCUUCGGGUUGUAAAGUACUUUCAGCGGGGAGGCGUUACCCGCAGAAGAAGCGCCGGCUAACUCCGUGCCAGCAGCCGCGGUAAUUC